rnacentral:rRNA from 1 species
AGCGUGCGCAGGCAUUUAAGUAAGACAAAUGUCCAUCCCCUGACUUAGCCUGGCGACUGCAUUNGUGCCAGCAUGGCUGAAGUGCGGCAAGGGGGGAUGUACUUCGCAGUGUAGCAGUGAAAUGCGUAGAUAUGCGGAUGCACAUCGAUGGCGAAGGCANUCCCCCGGUCCUGCACUUACGCUCAUGCACGAAAGCGUGGGGAGCAAUCUGGAUUAGAUACCCUGGUAGUCCACGCCCUAAGCGAUGUCAACCGGUUGUUCCGUCGGCAUUUUCUCACUACCGCAGCUCAGCUAGUGAAGUUGACCGCCUGGGGAGUGCGNCCGCAAGGUUGUAACUCAAAGGAAUUGACGCGGACCCGCACAAGCGGUGGAUGAUGUGGUUUAAUUCGAUGCAACGCGAAAAACCUUACCCACCCCUGACAUGUAUGGAAUCCUGUAGAGAUUGGGGAGUGCUCGAAAGAGACCCAGAACACAGGUGGUGCAUGGCCGUCGUCAGUUCGUGUCGUGAGAUGUUGGGCUAAGUCCCGCAACGAGCGCAUCCCUUGUCAUUAGUAGCUUCGAAAGGGCACUCUAAUGAGACUGCCGGUGACAAACCGGAGGAAGGUGGGGAUGACGUCAAGUCAUCAUGGCCCUUAUGGCCAGGGCUACACACGUCAUCCAAUGGUUGGUACAGACGGUUGCCAACCCGCGAGGGGGAGAUAAUCUCAGAAAGCCGGUAGUAGUCCGGAUGGCAGUCUGCAUCUCGAUCUGCGUGAAGUCGGAAUCGCUAGUAAUCCCGGAUCAGAAUGCCGCGGUGAAUACGUUCCCGGGUCUCGUACACACCGCCCGUCACACCAUGGGAGCGGGUUGCNCCAGAAGUAGGUAGCCUAUCUGUAUAGGAGGNNCGAUUGACGCAUCGUACCGUUCAUGAACUGGGUUCAAGUCCGAAAGGACCUUUCCACCCUUU